GCCCGAAUGGUGGAAUGGUAGACACGAGGGACUUAAAAUCCCUUGGCCUCACAGCCGUGCGGGUUCGAGUCCCGCUUCGGGCA
rnacentral:tRNA from 1 species